UACGAAGGGUGCAAGCGUUACUCGGAAUUACUGGGCGUAAAGCGUGCGUAGGUGGUUUGUUAAGUCUGAUGUGAAAGCCCUGGGCUCAACCUGGGAAUUGCAUUGGAUACUGGCAGGCUAGAGUGCGGUAGAGGAUGGCGGAAUUCCCGGUGUAGCAGUGAAAUGCGUAGAGAUCGGGAGGAACACCUGUGGCGAAAGCGGCUCACUGGACCAUAACUGACGCUGAUGCACGAAAGCUGGGGGAGCAAACAGG
rnacentral:rRNA from 1 species